AGCUGGUCGAGUACGCCGCCGCCGCCAAGACGUACCUGGUGCGCCGCCGUGCACGCCGACGACCUCCGCCUCGCCCCGCCGUCAUCUCCGUCCUCCCCAACCUCUCCCUGAACGUGCUCGUCGUGUGUGCCGCGAGAGCCUCAACAGCGUCAUCUUGGUCGGGGUUCGUCUGGCUUCCUUCAAAGGGCCGAGCCUCUCUCUUCAGUCAUCAAUUGAUCCUGCGGCUGGCCUGUUCCAUUUGCACCGAAGCAUUUGCUUCUUCCCGGAUAGGAUCACGAAGUGGUGUGGUGAGAUACG